rnacentral:rRNA from 1 species
UACGGAGGGGGCUAGCGUUGUUCGGAAUUACUGGGCGUAAAGCGUACGUAGGCGGCUUGGCAAGUUAGAGGUGAAAGCCCGGAGCUCAACUCCGGAAUAGCCUUUGAGACUGCCUCGCUUGAACGUCGGAGAGGUGAGUGGAAUUCCGAGUGUAGAGGUGAAAUUCGUAGAUAUUCGGAAGAACACCAGUGGCGAAGGCGGCUCACUGGACCGUUGUUGACGCUGAGGUGCGAAAGCGUGGGGAGCAAACAGG